GCACGAAAUUCCCAAAUCCACUCCCUCCUUGCUUCUCAAUCUCCAACUCUCUCCUCGGCGCUCUCGGCUCUCUAAUCUCCUCCAAAAUAAUGAAGUUUAUAACUGCUAUAAAUCUGCUCGUUUGUAGUCCCUAAACGAACCUUGAAGAUCCUGCUUCCGACCUCUUGUCUGAUAAGUGCGGUCACUAUAUAUUUUUUGGUGAAAUAAAUUAAUGUGUUCUGGUUCUGCCUCUGUUUGAAAACUCAUUUUUCUAAAUAUUUGAUCAGAGGUUUAAUUGUGUGGGCAAUGUGUUUGACGUAAUGACUUUGAGAAGAGUCCUUUAGCAACAUAGUAAAACACAUAAUCAAGAACUCUACAAAACACACUCUUUGUUGCCCAAAUGCACAUCUUUAAUCAUUAAAGUGAAUUUUAAUUUUGUCUCUCUUUUGCUGCUGAAUUGUGUUAUUAAGAUAUUAAUGCUAUUGAAUGAGGUUAAUGAAAGAUGUGAAAAUGUAU
rnacentral:lncRNA from 1 species